UCAGGAGAGUCACACUUGGACAUUUCAAUAGAGGAAGUGGAGGAGAGACUCCAUGGCACUGGAUUUAGCCAGCAACAGAGUGACUCUGAGCAACAUGCAGAGGUGUGUGCUUUUUGUGGACAUGCAGAAGAUAUGGGACCACACACUUCACACAAAAGAGCAAAAAGAAACUUGAUGGUGGUGAGAUGAGGGGACACAGGAAAAGGAGAUGCAUCAGUUGCCA